CAACCAUUGGCGCCUGGGGCGUGGGCGGGACGGCAGUAGGUGGGGCCGCCGAGUGGGUUGAGCGUUACUGUGGCAGCGGGCAUCCCAGGGUGCGUGCGGUGCAGGGUGUGCAAGAAAAUGCGAGGUUGGAGGAGGAGGUCUGUGUGUUUUUAAGGAUUGUGUGGAGUUGUGAGGUGGCGGAGUAGGGCGGGAGAAAGAGCGGAGAGUGUGAACUGCAGUUUCCGCUUUGCGGAAGGUUGCAGCUGCUGCUGCAGAUUGGCACCUGCCAUUCCCCCAAAACCAUGGGAAACUGCCUCGAGACAGGGCUAUCUUGCCUUUCUGGUGUCUUUUCAUUUGAGGGUGAGAGGAUGAAAUGGAAAAUUGGGCGGUGAUAGCAGCGUUUUCUUUGAUCAAACUGAAAAGAGUACGGAGCAAAGUAGAAUCCUGUCCUGAAACGUGGAAACGCACAACAAAUAACAAUGAGGAGGAGAAGGAGAUUAGGAUCAUUUUAUCAGUCCCCUAUUUCUGCGGACACUCAUUUAUAUUUUUUUUCUAGCAAAAGUCUGGAGGAAGUAUUACUGAAAUAGGGGGAGGGGCCAAGCGGCGACUAAGGAACCUGAAAUGACAGAGAUUUGUUCGUACAUUCCCCGCCCCACCCCCAAAAAACCUCGUUUAAUUGUAGUCAUUGGUUGUCUUUGGUUUCUCAUAACAUUCAAACUUCUCAUGUUUUUUUCCCCUUCACUGAAUCUGAGCUUUUGCUCAUAUUUCCCUUGAUGAAAUAAUUGCCGGUUUAGUAUACAGUUGGGAGUGCAUCGGUCUUUAUUUCCUAUCCAGCUUUUCUAUGGCAGGAUGUAACUUCAUAAAAAGAAACACUUUGGCUUCCUGAUUUUCUUUAUAGCUUUAAAUGGAUUUGGACUCCUCAGGAGGAUUUGCUAAUGGUCUGAACAAGUGAAUAGAGCACUGCAAAAGAUUUGUAUACUAUUCCCGUUUUGAUCUUUUCUGCCAAUCUCUACCAAGAACUUGAUUAAAGAUCUGAGACGCUGUCCCUGGCCUACCCAAGUUUUAAUCUUCUCUUAAAUGUCAACUCAACAACAACACAUAUGGCAAGGGUAAAAACCCUCAAUGUAGAGUUUUUACAAAUCAACAAGAAAAUAAAGAUGAACGUUCGAACUGAAAAAUAUGUGCAACAGAAACAAAACCCAAAAUGGCCAGUAAAUGUGAUAGGAGGUUCAACAGGAAAAUGGAUAUCCAUACCCUACUAGUGGAAUUUUUAAUUGGUACAACAUUGCUGGAAGGCAGUUUAAUAGCAUUUGUGAAAAGCCUUUUAAAAAAAUGUAUACAUUUGACUUAGCAAUUUUACUUCUGGGAAAGAAUGGAACAAAUUUGCAAAUACACAAACACAAGCGCACAUAUCAUGGGAAUAAUUGGAACAUUGUUUAUAAUAGUGAAACACUGAGAAAAGUUCAUUGAUAAGGGAUUUGGUGUGUAAAUUAUGUUAUAUCUAUAAUAGAAUACUAUAUAGCCAUAAAAUUAUAACAUUGCCAUUUAUUUAUUUAUUUGUGUGGAAAGAUGUUCACAACAAAUUAAAAUUAAGAAGAGCUAAUAAAUUAGUAUUGUGUUUGUAUGUGUACAUAUGUAUGUUUAUAUAUAUGUAUUAAUACACAUAUAUUUCCAUUAUUUUUAAACUUAUUUAUAUGUGUAAAUUUUCAUAGAAAGCAAUACAUACACAAAAAUUUUAAUGAUCAUUUCCUCCAAGUAAUCAUAUUUUAGGUCA
rnacentral:lncRNA from 1 species